UGUAUAUAUAUAUGUGUGUAUAAAUAUAUUAGCUUGCCUGCCUACCACGUGGUUCUAGGUUUAGUCCCAACGCGUGGCACCUUGGGCAAGUGUCUUCUACUAUAGCCUCAUCCGACCAAAACCUUGUGAGUGGAUUUGGUAGAUGGAAACUGAAAGAAGACCGUCGUGUAUAUAUAUAUAUAUAUAUAUAUGUAGGUGUGUGUAUAUGU